rnacentral:rRNA from 1 species
UACAGAGGGGGCAAGCGUUGUUCGGAAUCACUGGGCGUAAAGGGCGCGUAGGUGGCGGGCCAAGUCCAUGGUGAAAGCUCGAUGCUCAACAUCGAGUCGGCCACGGAUACUGGUUCGCUCGAGCACUGUAGAGGCUAAUGGAAUUCCGGGUGUAGCGGUGGAAUGCGUAGAGAUCCGGAAGAACACCGGUGGCGAAGGCGGUUAGCUGGGCAGUUGCUGACACUGAGGCGCGACAGCGUGGGGAGCAAACAGG